GCCCUUAGAGUUUGAUCCUGGCUCAGGAUGAACGCUGGCGGUAUGCUUUACACAUGCAAGUCGUACGAGAGUUUUUAACUCAAGUGGCGGACGGGUGAGUAACACGUAAGAAUUUGCCUUUAGGAGGGGGAUAACAACUGGAAACGGUUGCUAAUACCCCAUAUGCUUUCGAGUAAAAUGGAUUUUCCGCCUAAAGAGAAGCUUGCGGCUGAUUAGCUUGUUGGUGAGGUAAUGGCUCACCAAGGCGACGAUCAGUAUCUGGUUUGAGAGGACGAUCAGACACACUGGAACUGAGACACGGUCCAGACUCCUACGGGAGGCAGCAGUGGGGAAUUUUCCGCAAUGGGCGAAAGCCCUGACGGAGCAAUACCGCGUGAGGGAUGACGGCCUAUGGGUUGUAAACUUCUUUUUUUCAGGGAGGAAUCAAUGACGUGUACCUGAAGAAUAAGCAUCGGCUAACUCCGUGCCAGCCGCCCGCGGUAAGACGGGAGGAUGGCAAGUGUUUAUCCGGAAUUCACUGGGCCGUAAAGCGUCUGUAGGUGGUCAAAUAAGUCAACUGUUAAAUCUUGAGGCUCAACCUCAAAAUCGCAGUCGAAACUAUUCGACUAGAGUAUAGUAGGGGUAAAGGGAAUUUCCAGUGGAGCGGUGAAAUGCGUAGAGAUUGGAAAGAACACCGAUGGCGAAGGCACUUUACUGGGCUAUUACUAACACUGAGAGACGAAAGCUAGGGUAGCAAAUGGGAUUAGAUACCCCAGUAGUCCUAGCCGUAAACAAUGGAUACUAGAUGUUGAACAGAUCGACCUGUGCAGUAUCAAAGCUAACGCGUUAAGUAUCCCGCCUGGGAAGUACGCUCGCAAGAGUGAAACUCAAAUGAAUUGACGGGGAAGGGC
rnacentral:rRNA from 1 species